rnacentral:lncRNA from 1 species
AACACGGUCACAGCCAGAAUCGCAUUUAUCAAAGUAAUUGAAGGCAUGACACACAGUACGCAGCAAUGUUACAGCAUGGUUGCACUAGCAUUUUUUAAAAGGACUACAGGCAGGACAGGAAAAAAAUGGCCUCUUCUUGGAGAAGCAGGAAAAAAAAAACAUACAGUUGUUGGGUGCUGUGGUGAAACCUAAUGAUUAGGCUGCUGAUCUGGUGUAAGCAGAAAAAAAAACUUGCUGAUUCUGACCUCUGUUUUGGUCCCAGGGCUUGAAAUUUAUGCCCACACAGACAUCCCGAUGGGAGAGAGAGUCUGCCGUGCUUGUGAGCUCAGAGGGCCAAGCUAACUCAACCAAAAGAUCUUAGAGAGAGGAUAACAUCCCCGGAGAACAGCUGCCCUGAAGCAGGUGCAACAACCGAAGUAGGAUUUGAUUGCCAGUGGCAGCUGGAAGUACGGUCAAAGCUAAUUUCGUCCCACCGGACCCAUGCCUGGCGACUGGAGUGGCCCUGAGUUUUUCACAACAUGAUUUAAUACACUCCCCCAAGACCAGAAGGCAGGAAUUAGGACCGUAUGUGGCAUCUCUUCCUAUCCCAGACUUCCUCUCAAAAAUCUGCGAACAUACUCCAGCCAUGAUGUUCACACAUAUAGAUAGCUGGUGCCAAACAAUUGGAGAAAUGCAAUGUCUGCUUGACACCCACACAUAUUUUCAAGCACACAUACACACACACACACACACACACACAUGCACACAAUUAAAUAUUAAAUGGCCCUCAAAACCCAUUUCCCAGCUCUUGUUUUUGCAUGCAUUUGUUG